rnacentral:rRNA from 1 species
GCUAACACAUGCAAGUCGAGCGCUCCCUUCGGGGUGAGCGGCGGACGGGUUAGUAACGCGUGGGAACGUGCCCAGAUCUAAGGAAUAGCCACUGGAAACGGUGAGUAAUACCUUAUACGCCCUUCGGGGGAAAGAUUUAUCGGAUUUGGAUCGGCCCGCGUUAGAUUAGGUAGUUGGUGGGGUAAUGGCCUACCAAGCCUACGAUCUAUAGCUGGUUUUAGAGGAUGAUCAGCAACACUGGGACUGAGACACGGCCCAGACUCCUACGGGAGGCAGCAGUGGGGAAUCUUGGACAAUGGGGGCAACCCUGAUCCAGCCAUGCCGCGUGAGUGAUGAAGGCCUUAGGGUCGUAAAGCUCUUUCGCCUGUGAUGAUAAUGACAGUAGCAGGUAAAGAAAGCCCCGGCUAACUCCGUGCCAGCCGACCGCGGUAAUA